rnacentral:rRNA from 1 species
AAUGGGGGCAACCCUGAUCUAGCCAUGCCGCGUGAGUGAUGAAGGCCUUAGGGUCGUAAAGCUCUUUCGCCUGUGAUGAUAAUGACAGUAGCAGGUAAAGAAACCCCGGCUAACUCCGUGCCAGCAGCCGCGGUAAUACGGAGGGGGUUAGCGUUGUUCGGAAUUACUGGGCGUAAAGCGCGCGUAGGCGGAUUAGAAAGUUGGGGGUGAAAUCCCGGGGCUCAACCCCGGAACUGCCUCCAAAACUGCUAGUCUAGAGUUCGAGAGAGGUGAGUGGAAUUCCGGGUGUAGAGGUGAAAUUCGUAGAUAUUCGGAGGAACACCAGUGGCGAAGGCGGCUCACUGGCUCGAUACCGACGCUGAGGUGCGAAAGUGUGGGGAGCAAACAGGAUU